AACAUGCAAUACCUGACUAUUUAGUCAGGGGCACUAACCUCUUUUCCCUUAGAUUGUCAAAUAAAAAAUGACAGCAGCCAACAAAACAAUAGCUGUUCAGUGUGACUGAAUCAAAGUUAUAUCAAUUUUUUUUUUCUGUCAGAUCAU